rnacentral:rRNA from 1 species
AGGCAGGCCUAACACAUGCAAGUCGAACCGUAGCACCCAUAACUUGCUCUCGGGUGACGAGCGGCGGACGGGUGAGUAAUGUCUGGGAAACUGCCUGAUGGAGGGGGAUAACUACUGGAAACGGUAGCUAAUACCGCAUAACGUCGCAGGACCAAAGUGGGGGACCUUCGGGCCUCAUGCCAUCAGAUGUGCCCAGAUGGGAUUAGCUAGUAGGUGGGGUAACGGCUCACCUAGGCGACGAUCCCUAGCUGGUCUGAGAGGAUGACCAGCCACACUGGAACUGAGACACGGUCCAGACUCCUACGGGAGGCAGCAGUGGGGAAUAUUGCACAAUGGGCGCAAGCCUGAUGCAGCCAUGCCGCGUGUGUGAAGAAGGCCUUCGGGUUGUAAAGCACUUUCACCGGGGAGGAAGGCGGUGAGGUUAAUAACCUCGCCGAUUGACGUUACCCGCAGAAGAAGCACCGGCUAACUCCGUGCCAGCAGCCGCGGUAAUACGGAGGGUGCAAGCGUUUAUCGGAAUUACUGGGCGUAAAGCGCACGCAGGCGGUCUGUCAAGUCGGAUGUGAAAUCCCCGGGCUCAACCUGGGAACUGCAUUUCUAAACUGGCAGGCUAGAUCUUGUAGAGGGGGUAGAA